rnacentral:snRNA from 1 species
GCGCUGCAGAGCCAGCAGGA